rnacentral:rRNA from 1 species
AACGAACGCUGGCGGCAUGCCUAACACAUGCAAGUCGAACGAGACCUUCGGGUCUAGUGGCGCACGGGUGCGUAACGCGUGGGAACCUGCCCUUAGGUCCGGAAUAACUCCCCGAAAGGGGUGCUAAUACCGGAUAAUGUCUUCGGACCAAAGAUUUAUCUCCUUUGGAUGGGCCCGCGUUGGAUUAGCUAGUUGGUAGGGUAAAAGCCUACCAAGGCAACGAUCCAUAGCUGGUCUGAGAGGAUGAUCAGCCACACUGGGACUGAGACACGGCCCAGACUCCUACGGGAGGCAGCAGUGGGGAAUAUUGGACAAUGGGCGAAAGCCUGAUACAGCAAUGCCGCGUGAGUGAUGAAGGCCUUAGGGUUGUAAAGCUCUUUUACCCGGGAUGAUAAUGACAGUACCGGGAGAAUAAGCUCCGGCUAACUCCGUG